AAUAUUAUCUUCUAUUGACAGAGCCCUCAUAAAUGAACUGAUAUCAAGAAUUAAUAUUGAUGGUGAUGGUGGCAAGGGUGCCUCUGUAAGGUGCCAUCCAGGAGUCCCGUCCUGGAGCCAGAGGCUGCUAUUGCAAGACAGAUGGGGGAUGAUCCGCAGGCAAAGAUGCGACUAGACACUUGUACUGCGAAAGGUACCAUCAGAGCACCUGUCCCUACCCCGCAGGAUAUCUAUACCAGAAGAGUACAACAACGGCCCAAAACUAUUUCAAAAGACAUUUCACGCCCUGACCAUGGACUGUUUAAACCACUGAGGUCAAGCAGACGUCUCUGUUCCCACAUGGCUAAAACAGACUGAAGAUGAGUUUCCUUACUCAAGCCAUCUGCAUCCCUAACACACAUAACUCUUUGAAUUACUUUACAUAGACUUGCCAUACUGCACUUAAACACACACUGCACUUUUAACCUCCUGGGUCAUUCUGUGUCAACUCAGAUAAGGUUGUUGCUGCACUGUCUCAGGUUUUGUUCAAACCAUGUCUAUAUCAAGAAUGGCUCCCAAAACAAAGGCCUGUAUACUUCUGUUCAAAUCCUACCAAAUAAGUAUUUAUCAAUGAAUGAAACAUGGUACAUCAUUGGAAUUUUAAACAAUAAAUUAUUA